rnacentral:lncRNA from 1 species
UGUUGAUUGAGAGUGCACGCUUAAUUUGCAUGCUUGAAUUUGAUGCUAGGAUAUAAAUUUGUUUCACCUAAUCAUUAUGAAUUUAUAUUCGUAAGUAGUGAAGGUCGCUAGUCACGAUCGUGUUAAGUAGAUUCCUGGCAAGAGUAUCAUGCUUUUCAUAGUUACGAAUGCCUUGUCAAUGCUUAUGAUUUCCAAAGAAUGUAAUGAUUCUAACUUGUGUCUUUAUCAUGCUGUUCAUAUAAAGAACUUGUUAGGAAUAAUUUGUUUGCGAUGCAUAUUCAUCAAAUUCAAUGAUCCUAGGGAAAUCUGAAGGUUAAUUUAAGCGGACCUAAUUAACUUGGAGUUUUCUUCAAAAAAAAAAAAAAAAUUAACUUGGAGUGUUGAGGUUCAUAACUUAUUGAAUUGAUAACUGGAAAUUGAUUUACGUUGCAU